rnacentral:misc_RNA from 1 species
UGGACUACCCGGGUUUCUAAUCCUGUUUGAUCCCCACGCUUUCGUGCCUCAGAGUCAAUAUUCGUGUAGUGAGCUGCCUUCGCAAUCGGUGUUCUAUGUCAUAUCUAAGCAUUUCACCGCUACAUGACAUAUUCCGCUCACCUCCACGGUAUUCAAGACAGAUAGUAUCAACGGCAGUUUCCGAGUUGAGCCCGGAGAUUUCACCACUGACUUACCUACCCUCCUACGCACCCUUUAAACCCAGUGAAUCCGGAUAACGCUUGCACCCUCCGUAUUACCGCGGCGGCUGGCACUC